UGACUUCGUAGCUCAGUUGGUUAGAGCACUGCGCCGGCAUCGCAGACGUCAUGGGUUCGAAUCCCGUUGAGUCAC
rnacentral:tRNA from 1 species